UACGAACGCUGGCGGCAUGCCUAACACAUGCAGGUCGAACGAGACCUUCGGGUCUAGUGGCGCACGGGUGCGUAACGCGUGGGAACCUGCCCUUAGGUUCGGAAUAACUCCCCGAAAGGGGUGCUAAUACCGGAUAAUGUCUUCGGACCAAAGAUUUAUCGCCUUUGGAUAGGCCCGCGUUGGAUUAGCUAGUUGGUAGGGUAAAAGCCUACCAAGGCGACGAUCCAUAGCUGGUCUGAGAGGAUGAUCAGCCACACUGGGACUGAGACACGGCCCAGACUCCUACGGGAGGCAGCAGUGGGGAAUAUUGGACAAUGGGCGAAAGCCUGAUCCAGCAAUGCCGCGUGAGUGAUGAAGGCCUUAGGGUUGUAAAGCUCUUUUACCCGGGAUGAUAAUGACAGUACCGGGAGAAUAAGCUCCGGCUAACUCCGUG
rnacentral:rRNA from 1 species